GCCCUGUGGUUACUGGACUCUGCUGUGCCCGUGCAGUGCUUCAGUUGGAAGAUGGGCCCACAGUGACUCUGUGAUUUACGCAGGGAGUCUGUGAUACCCCUGAGCAGCCUCCACAGCCCGGUCACAGGCACACCC
ensembl:snoRNA small nucleolar RNA, H/ACA box 84